rnacentral:rRNA from 1 species
UACGUAGGGGGGCUAGCGUUGUCCGGAUUUAUUGGGCGUAAAGAGCGUGUAGGCGGCCAGGUAGGUCUGCUGUGAAAACUCGAGGCUCAACCUCGAGACGUCGGCGGAAACCAUCUGGCUAGAGUCCGGAAGAGGAGAGUGGAAUUCCUGGUGUAGCGGUGAAAUGCGCAGAUAUCAGGAAGAACACCCGUGGCGAAGGCGGCUCUCUGGGACGGUACUGACGCUGAGACGCGAAAGCGUGGGAGCGAACAGG